UACGGAGGGUGCAAGCGUUAAUCGGAAUGACUGGGCGUAAAGCGCACGCAGGCGGUCUGUCAAGUCGGAUGUGAAAUCCCCGGGCUCAACCCGGGAACUGCAUUCGAAACUGGCAGGCUGGAGUCUCGUAGAGGGAGGUAGAAUUCCAGGUGUAGCGGUGAAAUGCGUAGAGAUCUGGAGGAAUACCGGUGGCGAAGGCGGCUGUCUGGUCUGUAACUGACGUUGAGGCUCGAAAGUGUGGGUAGCAAAC
rnacentral:rRNA from 1 species